CUGCUUUUCAGCGGCAGGAGAAACACAUCUGCCAUGUUGAGUCGCAGUGAUUCGUGCUCGUGAGCUUCCUUGGAUGCGGAGGAACACGGGACGGGGGCUUAUCCGCCGCUCCUGUAGCUGGAGGCGACGGGAUGCGCGAGCGCGUGUUCUGAACCGACGCGCAGCCUGAAAUCCUCCACUUGUGUGAAAGUGCCGCUUGAGCUCCUCCUCAUUCAGGUCACAUUGCUGGACAGACAGUUUCGGUCUAAUCUGCAGAUUUUGCGGCUGACUCCAGAGCAGCUCGUCUCCAGCAGCUGGGAACCGAAACCGGCGUCUUUGUGCGCGCGUCUGUCAGCACAGGAGGAAGGUUUCAGGGCAUCAUCAUCAUCAUCAUCACUCAGGCGGCCUCUCACUGCAGUCGCUGAACUACAGCCUGGGAACCGGACCGGCGCCGGCCGAUCUCAUCAAGCAAAUGGACUCGGGUACUGUGGAGCUGAAAUCAGAGCCAGCAUCUCAGGCUCUGAAGGAAACAUCUGAGCUGAAUCGUGUCCUCUGUGCAAAGUUAUACAUGUGUUACACAGACAGAUGCUUGAAUGGGCAGUGAUGCUGAUUUGCUAAAGACGUCUGUGUUUAUUAUGACUUUCGAUGCUUCAGUCCUGCAGCCUUUCAUUAUCUCAUUCCUGAGAGUAAUAUUGUUUUAGGUGUGAGACUCUGCAUCAAAUUAGUGUGUGAUUUUCAGGAGAACCCGCUCCACCGGUUCUAAGUGGAGGUAGAACCUGUCCGUCAUCGGACUGAGACAGUCACCUGAGACGUGAAGCCACCUUUUAUCUCCAAGGCGUAGUGUCGCUUUGCUCAGCUCGAUCGCUCCUUAUCACUUCCAAAAGGGCAACAGAGAAUCCUCCACACUCUCUUAAUCAUCCAGAGGUAAUUUCAGAUGCACUGUCUGCAGAUGACCUUGGCGUUCUCUUUUUCCAACGUGCCGCACACUCCCGGGGAUGUAGUAGUGUGAGGAUUGCUUUUUUUCAUGCUCUGUUUGAACAGCUUUAAAGGACGGGAGAGAGAGGAGGAGAUUUGGCGAUAACCCAGAUGGAGCUAUUGAUUUGGUACGAGGACCUGCUUCACACCUGGCGAGAUUCAAGAGAAAAUAAGAGGAAUUUAAUCAAUGCGCUGACAGCUAAUCAAAAGUAGUGAAGCAGCCUGUUCUCAGCUGCUCACGGGUUCAAGUGUGUGCGUCUGCUCCAACAGUAAGUGUCUGCGUCUCAGCGGAUUCACGCUUGUUUGUGUCCCGGUAAUUGCAGACAGUGUGCGUGGAACAAAAAAAGAAGAGAAACCUGAAAUAGUCUCUUUCAUGUGUGAAGCAGACUGACAUCGUGGAGAAGGUCUGUUUACUCAAGGUUCCGCGUCGUCUGUCGACUGCAGCUGAACCCGGUUCGCCAGGCUGCUGUCAGAGGCUCUGAUUGCUCCAGCUGUGUGUUAAAUACACGGACCCAUUACGACUGACUAAACCCUGUGUACAAACACAGGGAUAUGUGCUGACUCGUGUGAUCAGACAGUGACUCUGUCAAGUCAAGGCCUGUGAUGCUGAAGUGCUGAUAGUCUAUUUCAGUCAAUUUCAGACUUGCAUUUUUUUGUGCGUGUACAUUUAUUGUUAUUGUUUCCAGAUUUUCUUUCAUAACUUGCUGCUCAGUCCCUGACGAACAUUUUCAUUAACUUCACUAAAUAGCUUCUCCUACAUUCCUUGUAGCUGACAGAGAAAUGAGCCACUUGCACGACUUGCAUUCUUUGAAUGUGAAAAUGCAUUUAACGGCAAAAGAGAGGAAGGAAAACAUUGAAUUCAUCAAGGUUAUUGAUAGGCGUUUGAUUUAACGUGAAGAAGAAACAAUGUGUGGAGGAGGUUACAGAAGAGUAAUUAAGGACGUUUGAGCUGUCAUAAAGCUUUAUUAUUUCCUAUUAAAAUGUUAUGGGAAUACUCGUACGACACAUAAGAUACCUCAUGCAGUCAAUGACCCCAUCAUUGUGAAGGUUGGGCGGCUCCUGGUCACUUUAUGGCCUCUGUGCAUCCCAGUCUGUGCUGCUGGUUGACUCCCGUCACAGCUGCUGCUCCACAGUAUUUCUCCACUCUCUUUCUUACACUCUGCUGAAGCUCUGUAGCCUCCUUUCAUCCUGUGAUAAUCACACUUAAUUCUCAUCAAACUUUUAAAAAUUGCAUGAGAAGCCUCUAAAGCACCAACUUAAUGAAGCUAUUCUGGGCUGGAUGUGAGCAAGCUUCUCUGCAGGACCUGGAAAGUAGAGGUUGUUAAGGUUAUUACUGGAACUCAUCUGUCUCGCUGUUUAAUAAUUCAUGAUUUAAUUUAGCUUCCCAAUUCCAACCUCAACGUAGCUCUUUGAGUAAAGCCAGCUCUAUUGGGAUCCCUCCAACAUUUUCAAGGCUGUGGUUUUAUUCACUGUAACCACUAACAGCAUUAAAGUCAAUUUAUCAUAGGAGGAAAGCAUAUUUUUUUAUUUUAUAUUACUCUGACCUGUCUCAUAAAUGUGGACUAAUCAACAUGCAUUGAUAGUGAAUGCAGUGAUAAGACAGUUGUAUUGUUUGUUUAUCAGUCAGCCCUGUUGCUGCGCCCUGACACAGUGAAUAGAAUAACCAAUAGGAAAAUGGCAAAAGUACAUUAACUUAAACGCAUUGGACAAACACGUUUCAUAUUUGUGGAUUUGUCCUUCCCCAGUGUAAAAUCCUGUUGCCAUAAGCUUAAAGCUUUAUUUUUGUUACUUUUGUGAUACGUUUUAAUGCAAGUUGUUAACCUUUUAGUGUUUUAUAUUUUAGGAUCUUUAUAACAAAUCAUUAUAUGUUUUGCAAAUACAUAUUAGACUGUAAAUACAUGAAUAUCAGUAUAUGUACUUUGAAUAACAAUCCCGUUAAAUAAUCACUUUAAUGAUAAUCACUGUCCCACUUGCUGUAACACACAACAACACAAGUUCUGGAAGCUUAUUCUUAAAAAAGUUUGGAUUAUUUAUGUGAACAUAAAAAAAACACAUGUAACAUAAACUUAGUUGUUAUUCACAAAUGUUUUCACAAAUAACGUGAUAAUAGAAAAAUAAUACAAAUCACUACUGUCCACAAUAAAAUCAUUUUAUGCUCACA
rnacentral:lncRNA from 1 species